GUGACUGUUUCUGAUGUUCACUGCAUUUCUUAAUGAUACACUGCAACCACAGUCACACACGUCAAAACAGAUGGUUCCUGCUGGCCAGCAUUAGGGCACAGCAGGUUAAGGCGCUGUGCGGC
ensembl:snoRNA